rnacentral:rRNA from 1 species
AGCGAACGCUGGCGGCAGGCUUAACACAUGCAAGUCGAACGGGCGUAGCAAUACGUCAGUGGCAGACGGGUGAGUAACGCGUGGGAACGUACCUUUUGGUUCGGAACAACACAGGGAAACUUGUGCUAAUACCGGAUAAGCCCUUACGGGGAAAGAUUUAUCGCCGAAAGAUCGGCCCGCGUCUGAUUAGCUAGUUGGUGAGGUAACGGCUCACCAAGGCGACGAUCAGUAGCUGGUCUGAGAGGAUGAUCAGCCACAUUGGGACUGAGACACGGCCCAAACUCCUACGGGAGGCAGCAGUGGGGAAUAUUGGACAAUGGGCGCAAGCCUGAUCCAGCCAUGCCGCGUGAGUGAUGAAGGCCCUAGGGUUGUAAAGCUCUUUUGUGCGGGAAGAUAAUGACGGUACCGCAAGAAUAAGCCCCGGCUAACUUCGUGCCAGCAGCCGCGGUAAGGAUGAGACGU